UACGUAGGGGGCAAGCGUUGUCCGGAUUCAUUGGGCGUAAAGAGUGUGUAGGCGGCCAGGUAGGUCGGUUGUGAAAACUGGAGGCUCAACCUUCAGAGGUCGACCGAAACCAUCUGGCUAGAGUCCGGGAGAGGAGAGUGGAAUUCCUGGUGUAGCGGUGAAAUGCGCAGAUAUCAGGAAGAACACCCGUGGCGAAAGCGGCUCUCUGGAACGGUACUGACGCUGAGACGCGAAAGCGUGGGGAGCGAACAGG
rnacentral:rRNA from 1 species